GGCUGAGACACUUUCAAACUGUCACUUGUGUGUAUGUGGGGGGGGGGUAAGAAGUGACAGGAAUUCGGCCAUUAGUGAAGAAACCAGUGUUGGAUUCAACGUGAACACUAGACUCUCUGUUCACGUCUGACUGUAUGCAAGGGACGUACUAACUGCAUUCAGGGGAGUCAUUGCGACCAUUCUACUAAAACUACAAUGCUACUCAUGCAAGCUUACACUACAAGCUAAGUACUAGAUACGUCUUACUUUUUGAAAGACGGCUCCUGCUUUCCAAUCCGACAUGCAACACCAUGAUGCAUCUGCAUCGCUUGAGAUAACACUGCCUAAAUAGGUGAACUUUUCUAUUUGUUCAAGAUCUGUAGGACCAAUGUUGAUUGGGGUACUGGGUAACUUGCACACAAUAUGUAUGACUUUGAGGACUUCUUUAUCUGUCAUCUCGUGUAUACAUUUAAUUGUUAUUUCACAGUAAUGCUAUGUCGUCUGCAAAGUCCAACUCGGUUUGGUUUACGCCAUGGGAAUCUAAAUGCAGCCUGUUUAAUGUAUUUCUAUGACAUCGUGGAUGGCUACAAGAAAGGGACCCUAAUCUCACACCCGUCUUGAUGUUGAAGAAUUCCGCCAUCUGUUGUGACACAGCAGCUUGAUUUGCUUUAGACAUGUCGCUGAAUCUGGACAAAUUGUUGUGCGAUGCCUUAUUAUCUUGCUGUUUUCCAGAGUGAUUCCGAUGGACGCUAUCAAGCUUUUUUUAAAUCUACAAAACUGAUCAACAUCCUCUGUUGGUAAUCCAGGCGUUGCUCGACAAUGUUUCACAGGACGCAAACCUGUUCAGUGCUUGAUUAGCCUUUUCAGAAGCAGCUUGGAGACACUAUUAUAAUGUAAAAUCUUUUCCGUCAAGAGCUCUUAAAUAGUCUCUAAUAAAAAUAUGUUCAACUCAAUGUUUCUCAAUUCAAUACUUGUACUUUUUAAAUUUAUGUAAUAACUUGAUAAAAUGUAA